rnacentral:rRNA from 1 species
AACGAACGCUGGCGGCAGGCUUAACACAUGCAAGUCGAACGGUUCCUUCGGGGACAGUGGCAGACGGGUGAGUAACGCGUGGGAAUCUACCCAUCACUACGGAAUAGCUCCGGGAAACUGGAAUUAAUACCGUAUACGUCCUUCGGGAGAAAGAUUUAUCGGUGAUGGAUGAGCCCGCGUUGGAUUAGCUAGUUGGUGGGGUAAAGGCCUACCAAGGCGACGAUCCAUAGCUGGUCUUAGAGGAUGAUCAGCCACAUUGGGACUGAGACACGGCCCAAACUCCUACGGGAGGCAGCAGUGGGGAAUAUUGGACAAUGGGCGCAAGCCUGAUCCAGCCAUGCCGCGUGAGUGAUGAAGGUCUUAGGAUUGUAAAGCUCUUUCAGUGGGGACGAUAAUGACGGUACCCACAGAAGAAGCCCCGGCUAACUUCGUGCCAGCCGCCGCAGUAAAAC